rnacentral:lncRNA from 1 species
GCGCAGCACUUCCUUGUUUGAAAAUAUCUCCCGCGAAGAAUCAACGUAAAGAGAGACAAAAUGAGAAAAUCUCGAAGAAUAUACCUACAGUAUGUGAAUAAAAAUAGGCGAUCUCAGUUAGCCAAUACGAGAAAAGCAGUGAAUGAAAGAAAAAAUGUGCCUGAUCUGCCGAUCGAGGCAGUGGCAGUACUGGUAGAGGAGGAAAAGGAGGUAGCCCGCAGCAGCGCGUUGAGAUGCAAAUUAGUUGAGAUGAAGAGGACAACUAGCAGCGAUCAACCAGACAGCAGCCAGCCAACAGUGGCUUUUAUUCCACAUGUCUCAAAUAAACCAACUUGUGCAUGAUUUGAUUUGCCCCAGGAGAGUGUCUAAACACUGGACUGAAAAUCAGCACAGACUUCACCAACCAGUGGUUCUGUAAUUCUGUCAUGAUAGAAUGUGCAGACUGAAGGUGAUUGUGAUGCGUUUAGGAUGAGUGUUUACACUUCCUCCAGGAGGCAGGAGUGCUCCAGUUGCAGAGAUUGAGGGCUACAGUCAAUGGAGA